rnacentral:rRNA from 1 species
ACGGGUGAGUAACGCGUGAGAAUUUGGCUUCAGGUCGGGGACAACAGUUGGAAACGACUGCUAAUACCGGAUGUGCCGAAAGGUGAAAGAUUUAUCGCCUGAAGAUAAGCUCGCGUCUGAUUAGCUAGUUGGUGGGGUAAGAGCCUACCAAGGCGACGAUCAGUAGCUGGUCUGAGAGGAUGAUCAGCCACACUGGGACUGAGACACGGCCCAGACUCCUACGGGAGGCAGCAGUGGGGAAUUUUCCGCAAUGGGCGAAAGCCUGACGGAGCAAUACCGCGUGAGGGAGGAAGGCUCUUGGGUCGUAAACCUCUUUUCUCAAGGAAGAAGAAAGUGACGGUACUUGAGGAAUAAGCAUCGGCUAACUCCGUGCCAGCAGCCGCGGUAAUACGGAGGAUGCAAGCGUUAUCCGGAAUGAUUGGGCGUAAAGGGUCCGCAGGUGGAACUGAAAGUCUGCUGUUAAAGAGUCUGGCUCAACCAGAUAAAAGCAGUGGAAACUACAGAACUAGAGUGCGUUCGGGGCAGAAGGAAUUCCUGGUGU